rnacentral:rRNA from 1 species
GACGAACGCUGGCGGCGUGCUUAACACAUGCAAGUCGAACGGUGAAGGAAGAGCUUGCUCUUCCGGAUCAGUGGCGAACGGGUGAGUAACACGUGGGCAACCUGCCCCUGACUCUGGGAUAACUCCUCGAAAGAGGUGCUAAUACCGGAUACGACCACUUCGGACAUCCGAUGGUGGUGGAAAGUUUUUCGGUCAGGGAUGGGCCCGCGGCCUAUCAGCUAGUUGGUGGGGUAAUGGCCUACCAAGGCGACGACGGGUAGCCGGCCUGAGAGGGCGACCGGCCACACUGGGACUGAGACACGGCCCAGACUCCUACGGGAGGCAGCAGUGGGGAAUAUUGCGCAAUGGGCGAAAGCCUGACGCAGCGACGCCGCGUGAGGGGAUGAA